rnacentral:misc_RNA from 1 species
GGAUGUGAGUCCAGCAAGUUUGGGUAGCUAUAACUGAAGUUGUGUAGGUUCAAUUGAUGCAAAGCCAAUUGGACAUACUUUGAUGAAGGAACCCUGCCCAGAAAACCACAAUAGACUAACCUAAAAAUUGACCAAAUCCGGAUAACACACAUUCUACCUGGGCAAAAUGACCAAAUAAAUAGUGUUCAUUCAUUUGAUCAUAACUUAGUGUAGAAAGGUCCAAUUGACCU